rnacentral:rRNA from 1 species
CCUACGGGUGGCUGCAGUGAGGAAUAUUGGUCAAUGGCCGCAGGGCUGAACCAGCCAAGUCGCGUGAGGGAUGACGGUCCUAUGGAUUGUAAACCUCUUUUGUCAGGGAGCAAAGGGCGCCACGUGUGGCGUUUUGCGAGUACGUGAAGAAAAAGCAUCGGCUAACUCCGUGCCAGCAGCCGCGGUAAUACGGAGGAUGCGAGCGUUAUCCGGAUUUAUUGGGUUUAAAGGGAGCGUAGGUGGUUAAUUAAGUCAGCGGUGAAAGUUUGUGGCUCAACCAUAAAAUUGCCGUUGAAACUGGUUGACUUGAGUAUAUUUGAGGUAGGCGGAAUGCGUGGUGUAGCGGUGAAAUGCAUAGAUAUCACGCAGAACUCCGAUUGCGAAGGCAGCUUACUAAACUAUAACUGACACUGAAGCACGAAAGCGUGGGGAUCAAACAGGAUUAGAUACCCUGGUAGUC